GGGCGUGUAGCUCAGCUGGGAGAGCGCUUCCUUCGCAAGGAAGAGGUCUGGGGUUCGAUCCCCCACACGUCCACCA
rnacentral:tRNA from 1 species